rnacentral:rRNA from 1 species
UACGGGGGGGGCAAGCGUUGUUCGGAAUUACUGGGCGUAAAGGGCCCGUAGGUGGCCAACUAAGUCAGACGUGAAAUCCCUCGGCUUAACCGGGGAACUGCGUCUGAUACUGGAUGGCUUGAGUUUGGGAGAGGGACGCGGAAUUCCAGGUGUAGCGGUGAAAUGCGUAGAUAUCUGGAGGAAUACCGGUGGCGAAGGCGGCAUCCUGGACCGAGAUGACGCUGAGGAGCGAAAGCUAGGGGAGCAAACGGG